rnacentral:tRNA from 1 species
GCAGAGAUAGCUCAGUGGUAGAGCACGUGACUAGCAUGCACGAGGUCCUGGGUUCAAUCCCCAGUCCCUCCA